GUGAAACUAGCAUAAAGAACUAGUUAGAGUAAAUUGUGACAGUGUUUGUCAGUUGAAUCCUCUAAAGGGGGAUCAGAUCAUACUCACAUUUGUUUGGUUCAAGUGAGGUCGCUCCUCCUUGAACGAUGAGCUCCGGAGUAGUCAUCUUUACUGGACCAGGAGGUGCGUCUCCCCCAGUUGACGGUCCCGUCGGGUGCAGGUUGCGUCUCCCCGAUAUUUGGGAUAGCGUCAGUGAGUUAUUGUUAACCAGAGGGUUAACCAAAAGAUUGGGUAAAGUUAAUGAAAAGCAUGCAUGCAUAUUUACAGUUUUCAUAUACUACUUCCUUCAGCUUUGUACAGCAUUGUAGUAGUUACAUAUUAUAGUUGGUUACUAUCUGCUUUACUUUUCUUGCCUACAUAUACCUGAGUAGACCUAGUGGGUGAGUCGGCGAGGUCG
rnacentral:lncRNA from 1 species